rnacentral:rRNA from 1 species
UACCAGCUCUCCGAGUUGUAGGGAUGAUUAUUGGGCUUAAAGCGUCCGUAGCUGGCUUAGCAAGUCUCCUGUUAAAUUCAGCGACCUAAUCGUUGAGCCGCGGGAGAUACUACUAGGCUAGGAGGCGGGAGAGGUCGACGGUACUUUCGGGGUAGGGGUGAAAUCCUAUAGUCCCGGGAGGACCACCAGUGGCGAAGGCUGUUGACUAGAACGCGCUCGACGGUGAGGGACGAAAGCUGGGGGAGCGAACCGGAUUAGAUACCCGGGUAGUCCCAGCUGUAAACGAUGCGAGCUAGGUGUUGGGGUGCUACGUGCCACUUCAGUGCCGCAGGGAAGCCAUUAAGCUCGCCGCCUGGGGAUACGGCCGCAAGGCUAGAAACUUAAGGAAUUGGGCGGGGGAGCACCUCAAGGCGUGAAGCUUGCGGUUC